rnacentral:lncRNA from 1 species
CUGGGCUGUUCGUCUUCCCUCUGUCUAAGGAGCCGGUGCGGGGGCCUGCUCGUAAACUCCGGGCUCGGUGCCGGGUGGGCUGGGGCCCCCAGUGGGGAGGCCAGCCUCAGGGCUGAUUGAUGACCUGUGGAUGCUUCCUGAUGCCACCAGCGUGUUUUAUGAUGUCAUUAGGAGACUUCAGCCGCAUUAAGGAAUCCCUCAUGACAUCAUAAAGGACUUGAUAUUUCGCUAAUGUUAUUUCGGUGGAGAGGCGCGGGGACAUUUUAUCGUCCCCAACACUCCCCCAAGAAUUAGGAGUUGUCUAACAGCAUCCAGGAAGAAAUGCAAAACUAGUCAAAUUCACACUCCCGGGGCGAUGGCUAGAGAAUGCUAAUAGGCCUGGGCUCCUCGGGGCCCCGCCGCAGUUUUAGGUGGGAAACAUGAUGUGCUUGUCAAAGCGGGCCCAAAAAGUCAUUCUACCCAGCGCUGACUUUCCCGGAAACUGGGCACCAUUUGUUUGGGAAAACGCGAGCUGAGGCCGGAGGGCCCUCGUAGGGAGUCCGGAAAGCGUGACCUCUGGUCCUUCUGUGACCUUGGUCAAGACUUUUCAUUGCUCUAGGAUUCGCCGUCCGUCACGAUGGGCUGGUCCCUCUGUGAGUUUGAGUGCCGAGCCCAGGCAGGACCCAACCGCUCCACAAAGAACUGGGCAUUAAAGCGAUCCGUGAUCUGGGCUCCAUCUCAACCCUGCCCUCAGCUGAGAAAACUGAGGCCCAUACUUGUCAAAGGUCAUGUAAGUAGGAAACAGAAGAGCCAAAGCCAAUAUUCUUUCCACUCUAAGCCUCUGGGCCAUAUUCCCAGCCUCUGGCCAGAGAGCCUAUUGUCUCUCAUGUAAAGAAGAUGGGCGAAAGCAGACCUUCCCCCUGGUCUCCCCCCAACUGCUGGCCUUGUCCAGGAUCCACACCAGAGACAUGGCAUCCUCAAUUCCAGCACCUCUUCUCCAGGGCCUGUUUCCAAAGACAAUACAAAUCAGCAGGAUGAUAACUGCCGUCUCUAUAGAACUUAAAGGUUUUUAAAGCAUUUUCUCCAUUUGGUUAGUUUCAGCAAACAUCCAUUAAGUAAUGGUGUGCAAGACACUAUGCAAAGUGUUAGAGCCACAAAGAAAAAUAAAAUCAAAU